CAACCCAUUUCUGGGCGUGUGUGUGUGUGUGUACGAGCAGAGGAGAAGAAAGGAAGGGGGAGCCCUUCUCAAACCCUAAGCAACGAAUUGGAAGGAUUCUGGCCGAAAUCGAACCUGCAUGAACCUUAAUAGUGAUAAUCUAAGCAAGAUGUAACCAAGGAACGUGUCAAGGAGAGCUCAAGCAUAGGAGGAUAACGGGUCAAGAUAAGGCAAGGUGACAAAUACACUUAUUGGAGUACUCAAGGUAAGUGAUUUCCGUAGUCACUUCUUAGUUUGUUUAAGUAAUACAAUGCUUUAUUUAAUUAGACAUGAUGUUUGAUGUCAAUUAUGCGUUGAAGUCUUUCAUUGUGCAUAAUGGGAAUAAAGUUGAUUAAGACGCCCUUGAUGGGUAUAUUGGGCGAACAAUCUUAAAGUAGACUAUAAGGAAGCUAUUCGACUAGUGUAAUGGUUAUGGUCUAGUGUGAAAAUGUGGAGUAUGGUUUUGUAUGUCAUAAACCAUUUAAUGCAUAACUAACCAUAACGGGUCGAAAAUAAGCAUUUGAGCGAUAAUGGGUUAAGAGGAUACAAGACAUCCGAGAAUUUAAUCUUUUAUGAUAGAUGUCAACAAAAUUAUUAAGUUCAUAUGAGAUUGAGGUCAAAUAAUCAGAUUAUGUUGAUGUACGCUCGAACGGGUCAAAUAGUUAGAAAAUGAUUAUAAGUCGAAUGCAUGUAAGUUAAGAAUUUCCUUAAUCCGGAUGUAGGAUUUUAAGUUCAUAUGAAAGAAUGUGAAUGUACAAGCAUGUAGGAAGAAACGGGAGGUUAAACGGGUAAACGGUUUAAAAGUUAUGCAAGUUUUAGUGCAUUCGAACGACGAAAGCAGCACAGCAGAAAAAUGGCAAAAGCAGAGGCCGUCGCCGACGCCCCUAUGGGCCGUCGCCGACGCCUCGUGCUUUUUCAGUUUGCUCCGACGUCCUAUUUUCCUGUCUACGGGGUUUUUAAGCUACGGGAAAAACUAAAAGCCGUCGCCGACGGCCUCCCAAUGUUUAGAAUGCUGAAAUUUGUUAACUAAGUUGUUUAAUGUAUCGUAAGCUUCAGUAUAUCAACCGUGGUCUAUGGUAAGCCUUCUAAACCAAAUUUUGGGUGUUCUCUUGAUGUUUUUGGGUUCUAAACCCAAGAAUAAGCACCGUAUAAAUAAUGUACGAACACGAUAAGUGUAUACGAACAAGUUAAACAAGAAUUGGAUGUAAGUAAAAUAUGCGUAGACACGAAUAUGUAAGCACGCAAGUACGUAUGCAGGUAUGCUUGGUUUCAAUAUGUUUGGGUAAGGAUCUCACUAACAAUGUGCUUGAGAUUGGUAGGUAAUGCAGGAAUGAGAACGACGGAUUCUCGUGGAAUGGAAGCUGAACUCGGAACGAGAGAAUCCAAGAGGAUAGUCGGAUAAAUCAAAGUUUACUUUGUCGAAUUUUAUACUAUUUAAUUAUAUGUGAAUUUGUGAUGUGCGUGAAGUGUGUUAUAUUUUUAGAUAUAUAUUUAAGCCCUUUUUACACUUUUA